UGUCAUGACACACACAUUAAGAAGCAUUAA
rnacentral:piRNA from 1 species